UUGUUGAUCUCUAGCAACGGCGCCAAAAUGUGAUUGUCAUUUUAUUUAUUCUAUAAAUUCCUUUCAGAAUAAACCUAUAGAAGGGGAUUCAAAUACAGAGAAAGACUAACCACAUGAGCUUAUACAUUAGAGUUACAUAAUUAACCAUAUUUCAAACUACUAAAAUACCAAAGAAUACUACAAUACUUUCUCUCAUUAAUAAUACUCCCUCUUCAACUGAUAACAAUAAUAAACAAUCUUGCACUCUCAAAAGACCACUCAAAAUACACAAAUUCCAUCUAACACCAGAAAUAACAAUCUUCUACUCCAACCAAUCUCGCUUCACAUAAUUUUUGUAAUCACGGAUUUCUUCUGUCGAAACACAUAUAACUCUCAAUUAACAAAAAUCAUAAUCUUCCAUCAAGAAUCAAUCUUCUAUAGAAUUUGGUAACAAACUUCCAAUAUUUUUUCAUAAUAAUUCAAUUAGACAGUACUCCAAUUACAUACUCAAUAUCUCAUAAAUCAAUCUCUGAUUUAUUCUACAAAUUCACUUCACAAUAUUCAUAAACUAUCCAUUAUUCUUUAAUUACAAAGAAAAUAAAGA
rnacentral:lncRNA from 1 species